rnacentral:rRNA from 1 species
GACGAACGCUGGCGGCGUGCUUAACACAUGCAAGUCGAACGGAAAGGCCCAGCUUGCUGGGUACUCGAGUGGCGAACGGGUGAGUAACACGUGGGUGAUCUGCCCUGCACUCUGGGAUAAGCCUGGGAAACUGGGUCUAAUACCGGAUAUGACCACCUGUCGCAUGGUGGUUGGUGGAAAGCUUUUGCGGUGUGGGAUGGGCCCGCGGCCUAUCAGCUUGUUGGUGGGGUAAUGGCCUACCAAGGCGACGACGGGUAGCCGACCUGAGAGGGUGAUCGGCCACACUGGGACUGAGACACGGCCCAGACUCCUACGGGAGGCAGCAGUGGGGAAUAUUGCACAAUGGGCGCAAGCCUGAUGCAGCGACGCCGCGUGAGGGAUGACGGCCUUCGGGUUGUAAACCUCUUUCACCAGGGACGAAGCGUGAGUGACGGUACCUGGAGAAGAAGCACCGGCCAACUACGUG